GCUGGAUUGUGUUUGUUCUCUCCAUCAGAUUCCUGUCAACUCACAAUCGACACAAACACAGUGAACACAAAGCUCCAACUGUCUGACAACAACAGGAAGGUGACACAUGUGGAGGAGGUUCAGUCAUAUCCUGAUCAUCCAGACAGAUUUGAUGUUUAUCAGCUGCUGUGUAGAAAUGGUCUGACUGGUCGCUGUUACUGGGAGGUCGAGUGGAGAGGAGACGUUUAUAUAUCAGUGAGUUACAGAAGCAUCAGAAGGAAAGGAGGCAGUAAUGACUGUGUGUUUGGAAAAAUGAUCAGUCCUGGAGUCUGAUCUGCUCUGAUGAUGGUCUAUUUGUCUGGCACAAUAACAGACGAACAUCCAUCCUCCUCCUCCUCCUCCUCUGUCUCUAACAGAGCAGCAGUGUAUGUGGACUGUCCUGCUGGCACUCUGUCCUUCUACAGAGUCUCCUCUGACACUCUGAUCCACCUCCACACCUUCAACACCACAUUCACUCAAACUCUUUAUCCUGGGUUUAGAUUGGUCUCCUGGUUCCUCAGUGUCCCUGUGCUGAGUGGAGUGUAAAGAGUGUCUCCUGUUACAGAAACACUCUGACUGUUGAACAGAUAGUUCAGUCUGUACAUGUCUGUCUCUUUCACUCACAAACACGUUUUCAGAUUCAUGGAUUCAAUCAGUUGAUGUUUGAAACUCUUCUAAAUGAUUCCUUGUAAACUUCUUCCUCUUCAGUCACAAACAAACAGGAAGUGAUGUCACAUGUGUUCCUGUCCACACAGCAGAAUGAGUCUAUUGCUGACAGUGAUGUACAAACAGAGUGAGCAUUUCUGAGGCCCAAAAUAAACUGAGUAGUUCACUGAAUGAACAAUGGACUGUGAGCUCAGUUCCUUCAUCAUUAGUAUGGAUUAUAUAUGUAUAUGUAUUAUAUUAGUAUCAUAUAUAUCAGGUGCUGCUGCUUUCAGUCAUUGUGCAAAUGUGCUGUUUGUAAGCUUGUAAAGCUGCAGUCAGCUGAGACUGAAGAAGUCACCUGAUCAGUGAGCAAACGUUUCUGAAAACGUCCAUAUGAACAGAAUCAACCUUUUGGGAUCAGCCAGCAAUGCAGCAUCAUUGUUGUUCAGGUUCAGAGGUUUGCAGGAAUGAACUGAUGACCAGAAACAGCUGCAAAGUCCAAAAAAUACCAGCUGGAGUUCAGCUGCAUUUGAAGAAGUCAAAGAAAAGUAAGGAUGGCAAAGGGCGACGUUUUCUUCCAAAGAACUGAAAACAUGGUCGACGCCUCAUUAGAAGAAUCAUCUGGACAUUUGUGAGGAACUCUAACCAAGAAAGCAACGUCACACAGAUCCAACAGACAGUUUCCAUGACUGCAAGUGUUCAGUG